AGAGGAGGAAAUGGGAGCGAUGCCAGGGGCGAGUGCUAGAGACGUCUCAGAAGCCCGCUGGCUCCCUCCAGAGAAACUGUGCGAGAACCGUCCCAAGAAGCUCGUUGCCGGCAUUUUUGGGUUGCGCGUCCCCCACCCUCACCAAUAGCACAGCCCAGCCGCGCCCGGGUUCCGGGUGAGGACUCGGGGUCCACUCAGCUCCGCAGGACUGCCGCUUUAGUAUUCUGUCCUCAGGGGCUGGGAGUGGUGUUUUGGGCUCUGCUCUUCUGUGCACCAGGAUCAUGCUUAAUGCCUGCACCUUUCUCGUCUACCCUGGCUUCUGGUGACUCUUUAAAGUAUAGGUUCAUGGAGUUGAAGAGCUGCUCAGUAGAGAGCUUCUCAUUUCACUUCUGCCCACGUUUUAGAGGGCCACCAAGGCAAUACUUCUAUGAGUCCACAAGAACCACAGUGUUAUUGGACUUGGAGCUAAAGUCUCUUUGAGCACCUGGAAUACCUUCCCAAAAAGAUGGGCACAAACAAGCCCAGACUGCAAAGACUACAGUAAAUACCAAACUCUUCUAUGUGCAGACACCGAUGAACAUCCACAAGCAUCAAGACCAUCCAGGAAGACAUGAUGCCACCAAAUGAACCAAAUCAGGCACCUGGGACUAAUCCUGGAGAAACACAGAUGUGACCUUUCAGACAGAAAAUUCAAAAAAGAUGUUUUGAGGAAACGAAGAAAUUCACAAUAACACAGAGAAGGAACUCAGAAUUCUAUAAGAUAAAUUUAACAAAGAGAUUGAAAUAACUAAAAAUAAGCAGAAAUUCUGGAGUUGAAAAUGUAAUUGACAUGACAUACUAAAGAAUGCAUUAAAGUUCCUUAAUAGCAGAAUUGAUGAAGCAGAAGAAAGAAUUAGUGAGCUUGAAGAGAGGCUAUUUGAAAACACAUAGGCCAGGCGUGGUGGCUCAUGCCUGUAAUCCUAGCACUUUGAGAGGCUGAGGUGGGCAGAUCACUUGAGGUCAGGAGUUCGAGACCAGCCUGGCCAACAUGGUGAAACCCCAUCUUUAUUUAAAAAAAAAAAACACAUAGGCAGAAGAGACAGAAGAAAAAAGAAUAGAAAAUAAUUUUUAAAACACCCACAAGAUCUAGAAAAUAGCCUCUAAAGGGCAAAUCUAAGUGUUAUUAGCCUUACUAGAGGAAGUAGAGAAAGAUAUAGGGGUAGAAAGUUUAUUCAAGGAAUAAUAAUAGAACUUCUAAAACCUAGAGAAAAAUAUCAACAUUCAAGAACAAGGUUAUAGAACACCAAGCAGAUUUAGCCCAAAGAAGACUACCUCAAUAAUAAUCAAACUCUCAAAGGUCAAGGAUAAAGGAUCCUAAAAGCAGCAAGAGAAAAGAACCAAAUAAUAUACAGUGGAGGCUGGGCACAGUGCCUUAUGCCACUGCCUGACUCCCAGCACUUUGGGAGGCCAAAGCAGGCAGAUCAUUUGAGGUCAGAAGUUUGAGACUGGCCUGACCAACAUGGUGAAACCCUGUCUCUACUAAAAAUAGGAAAAAAUUAGCCAGGCAAGGUGGUGCACAUCUAUAGUCCCAGCUACUCGGGAGGCUGAGGCAGGAGAAUUACUUGAACCUGGGAGGUAGAGGUUGCAGUAAGCUGAGAUCACACCACUGCACUCUAAUCUGGGUGACAGAGCAAGACUCUAUCUCAAAAAAAAAAAAUAAAAACAACAACAACAAAAACAUACAAUGGAGUUCUAAAACAUGUCUGGCAGUAGGCUUUUAAGUGAAAACCUUACAGGCCAGGAAAGAAUGGCAUGACAUAUUUAGGGUGCUAAAGGAAAAAAAAUUUACCCUAGAAUAAUAUGUCUGGUAAAAAUGUUCUUCAAGGCCAGGCGCGGUGGCUCAAGCCUGUAAUCCCAGCACUUUGGGAGGCCGAGGUGGGUGGAUCACGAGGUCUAGAGAUCGAGACCAUCCUGGUCAACAUGGUGAAACCCCGUCUCUACUAAAAAUACAAAAAAUUAGCUGGGCAUGGUGGCGCAGGCCUGUAAUCCCAGCUACUCAGGAGGCUGAGGCAAGAGAAUUGCCUGAACCCAGGAGGCGGAGGUGCGGUGAGCCAAGAUCCCGCCAUUGCACUCCAGCCUGGGUAACAAGAGCGACCCUCCAUCUCAAAAAAACAAAAUAAAAAUGUUCUUCAAACAUGAAGAAGAAAUAAAGACUUUCCCAGACAAACAAAAGCUGAAGGAUUUCAUCAACACAGACCUGUCCUACAAGAAAUGCUAAGGGGAGUUCUUCAAUUUGAAAGGAAAGGAGCAGUAAGAAAUCAUUUGAAGGGUCUUGCUCUGUAACCCAAGCUGGAGUGCAGUAGCGUGAUCAAGACUCACUGCAGCCUCGACCUCCUGGGCCCAGGUGGUUCUCCCACCUCAGCUUCCCAAGUAGCUGGGACUACAGGCUUGCACCACCACGCCUGGCUAAUUGUUUUGAAUUUUAGCAGAGAUGAGAUUUUGAUAUGUUGCUCAGGCUGUUCUGGAACUCCUGGGCUCAGGUGAUUCACACAUCUCAGCCUCCCAAAUUGCUGGGAUUAUGGGCAUGAGCCACUGCACCAGGCCUACUUUUUCUAAAUAUAAACUCCUCUUACUGUAUCUUCAUCUCAGGUAACAGUGUGAUCAUCUACCCAGUCUCCCAAGCAAGAUACCUGUGAGUCAGCCUGGACUCCACCCUCUGCCCUUAUCCCACGCAAUCCGUGCAUCACACAGUCUUCCUGAAGCCUUCCCCGCCUCUCCAUUCCUGCUGCCAUUGCUUCCUUCAGGCUUUCUUUGUCUCUCAUCAGGACUCAGCAGCGUCUCCUCGCUGCCUCCACUUUCUCUUCCAUUCAAUGCAUCCUCCACAACGCCUACUGAGUUUGUUUCCGAAAAGAGCAACCUCAAGACUCAGCUGCUCUGCCUGAAGACCUCUGCUGCCUCCAGCAGAAAGUUCCACCUUUUGAAACAGAUAUGAUCCUCCAGUCAGGCCAAAGCAGCCAUCAUACAAUUGGGUCCUGUGCUGCUAUGAUUCUCGGUCUGGAAGGGUCCUUAAAGAUAUUCCAGCCAACGUCCUGGGUGAUGCCGGAAUUCCUGCUAGACUUUAGGCUCAAUCCACACACUCCCAAAACUAGGAAAGCCCUCAGAGACCUGCGGAUCUGGUAUCCAGGACCUACUCCUGCCUUCUCUGGGGGAAUUCUCCCCACUGCCUCCUUUCUUUGCCUGGUCCAAGUCCUAGCUCCCAGAAAAAGGUCCAUACCUGGGACACCUCCACUUCCUCUUCCUCCAGAGCCAGCUUAAAGUAAGGAGGCGGCAAAAGGCCAAGAAGCUCAGAAAGUCCCCCAGAUUCAUCUGUGGUCAAGCCAGCUUCAUUCAAAUGAACUUUGUUCCCUGAGGAUUUGUUCAUGGAGGAGUA